AAAAUCCAUUUGCUGGCCGAGCACAGUGGUUCACGCCUGUAAUCCAGCACUGUGGGAGGCCUCGAGGCAGGUGGAUCACCUGAGGUCAGGAGUUCGAGACCAGCCUGGCCAACAUGGCGAAACCCCAUCUCUACUAAAAAUACAAAAAAUUAGCCGGGCGUGGUAUCAGGUGCCUGUAAUCCUGGCUACUCGGGAGGCUGAGGCAGGAGAAUCACUUGAACCCGGGAGGUGGAUAUUGCAGUGAGCUGGGAUCAUGCCAUUGCACUCCAGCCUCGGCAACAAGAGUGAAACUCCAUCUCGGACAAAAAAAUCCAUUUGCUAAUACCAGGCUGAGGGUGAGCUGCUGUUCUCACCUGGGAGAGAUGAUUUGUCAGAACAUGUCUUAAAACCGGCUGCUGCCAUGCAGAGAUAGCACAUGACACGUGCCACCAGCCAGAGCCGCUAGUCCAUGGGCCAGGCUAUGGAAGUGGCAGCUUGUGAUUUUAAUACCAAAGAAAGCCCAGAGCUCAGAGAGAGGCAGAGUUUCCUUCACAUGGACCAC
rnacentral:lncRNA from 10 species